ACAAAAACAAUCGGGGCUCGUUGGCAGAGCAACCGAAGGGCAACGAAACAAAACACAGCCGAGGGGUUGUUUUUGGCAAACAAAACAAAAAGUCGGAUCGACCUCGAACGCCGAGCGACCAGGUCGCUAGGCCGAGGGAUCCGGCGAACUCGCUGGGUUUCUCAGCGCCUUGGGCCGUCGAAGCCUCCUCCUCCGAGGGGCUCCGUCGCCUUAAGUACAGACGAGCUCGACCGCGACCCCGGGCUUCCGGAACGGUGGGUCGCUUCAUUCAAAAAGCACUCGGCAUCGUCGGGAGGUUGGCCUCGACGUUAUAAGCACCCGAGUAUGUACUUUCUCACGUAUACCAACAGAUUUCUUACACAAAACCCGGGAAGGCGGAGUCGGCAAGGCUCUUGCCUUUUUUCGGGGGUCGGCCGGCGUACCUCGUUGCGCGCCGCGACCGACCGAAUUGGCAUCAUACUAUUUUGA
rnacentral:misc_RNA from 1 species